rnacentral:rRNA from 1 species
UACGGAGGGUGCGAGCGUUAUCCGGAAUUACUGGGUUUAAAGGGUGCGUAGGCGGCUAUGUAAGUCAGGAGUGAAAGUUUGCGGCUCAACCGUAAAAUUGCUUUUGAUACUGCAUGGCUGGAAUUAGGAUGAGGUCAGCGGAAUGUGGCAUGUAGCGGUGAAAUGCAUAGAUAUGCCAUAGAACACCAAUUGCGGAGGCAGCUGGCUAGACCUGGAUUGACGCUGAGGCACGAAAGCGUGGGGAGCGAACAGG